rnacentral:rRNA from 1 species
AGUCACUGACAUUAGAUACCCGUGUAGUCCAGGGUGUAAACGCUGCAGACUUGGUGUUGGAAAUCCUUCGAGGGUAUUCAGUGCCGGAGAGAAGUUGUUAAGUCUGCUACUUGGGGAGUACGUCCGCAAGGAUGAAACUUAAAGGAAUUGGCGGGGGAGCACCACAACGGGUGGAGCCUGCGGUUUAAUUGGACUCAACGCCGGAAAUCUCACCGGAUAGGACAGACAUAUGAUAGUCGGGCUGAAGACUCUACUUGAUGAUCUG